AUUGAACGCUGGCGGCAUGCCUAACACAUGCAAGUCGAACGGAAACGGGCUUUCGGGUGCCGACGAGUGGCGGACGGGUGAGUAAUACACCGGAACGUGCCCGACCCUGGGGGAUAACGAGGCGAAAGCUUUGCUAAUACCGCAUACGAUCUACGGAUGAAAGCCGGGGACCGCAAGGGCUUGCGCGGACGGAGCGGCCGAUGGCAGCUGAGGUAGUUGGUGGGAUUAAAGCUUACCAAGCCGACGAUCUGUAGCUGUGCUGAGGGGGUGAUCAGCCACAGUGGGAGUGAGAGGCGACCCAGAGUCCUAGGGGAGGCAGAGGUGGGGAAGUUUGGAAAAUGGGCGGAAGACUGAUCCAGCCAUGCAGGGUGGAGGAUGAAGGCCUGCGGGUGGUAAACUGCUUUUGUGCGGAACAAAAGGCCUUGUUUUAAUACAGGAGGGUCAGGAGGGAACCGUAAGAGUAGGCACCGGCUAACUACGU
rnacentral:rRNA from 1 species